rnacentral:rRNA from 1 species
UACAGAGGUGCCAAGCGUUAGGCGGAAUCACUGGGCUUAAAGCGCGUGUAGGCGGGUCGUUAAGUGUCUUGUGAAAUCCCACGGCUCAACCGUGGAACUGCUGGGCAUACUGACGAUCUUGAGGCACUCAGGGGCUGUCGGAACAAAUGGUGGAGCGGUGAAAUGCGUAGAUAUCAUUUGGAACGCCAACGGUGAAAACAGACAGCUGGGGGUGUCCUGACGCUGAGACGGCGAAAGCCAGGGGAGCGAACGGG